rnacentral:rRNA from 1 species
ACCGAAUAGAUACCCGGGUAGUCCACGCCGUAAACGUUGGGCGCUAGGUGUGGGGGUCCUUCCACGACCUCCGUGCCGCAGCUAAACGCAUUAAAGCGCCCCGCCUGGGGAGUACGGCCGCAAGGCUAAAACUCAAAGGAAUUGACGGGGGCCCGCACAAGCGGCGGAGCAUGCGGAUUAAUUCGAUGCAACGCGAAGAACCUUACCAAGGCUUGACAUGUACAGGAAAGUUCCAGAGAUGGUUCCCCCGCAAGGUCUGUACACAGGUGGUGCAUGGUUGUCGUCAGCUCGUGUCGUGAGAUGUUGGGUUAAGUCCCGCAACGAGCGCAACCCUCGUCUUAUGUUGCCAGCACGUCAUGGUGGGAACUCAUAAGAGACUGCCGGGGUCAACUCGGAGGAAGGUGGGGAUGACGUCAAAUCAUCAUGCCCCUUAUGUCUUGGGCUUCACGCAUGCUACAAUGGCCGGUACAAUGGGCUGCAAUACCGUAAGGUGGAGCGAAUCCCAAAAAGCCGGUCUCAGUUCGGAUUGGGGUCUGCAACUCGACCCC